rnacentral:lncRNA from 1 species
UUUUGAUCUGGGGACUGCAGAGCUGUGGGUGGUGUUAACUGUGGCCUCCUUGUAGAUCAGAGACAAACCAGGAAGAACUUCUAGAAGAGUGAGAAGCUAAACUAUACUGUUACCAAAUUAAUGUGCUUUUCUUGCUUAAGUCACUGCAAGGUUCAUCAUAGUCUCCAGUGGAGUCAGAAUUUCCUCUCCAGUACUUAAAAUUCUACCAGGUUAACAGAAAAAGACACAAAAAAUUACUUGCUGUUCAUUUUUGGAGACUAGAUAUAUUUAUAUGUGUAGUUGGUGUACUCCACUUAGCCACAUCCCAGCUCCAUGUUGUAGAAUACUCAACAUUCUUUAAGUUUUCCACUCCUAGGUGCCUUGACUUCUACUAGCUGGGAAUCUUGGCAUAUGUAAUGGAUAGAAAUCCUGGUCUGUGCUGAGCUUGUCUCUAGCCUGGAUGAUCACAGGAUACCCGAGAACAUCAUGGCACAUAUCCACACAUCACUUCAGAUGCAGCCCAAGAAAGUCUCUGUCUUCAGAAUGAAAGAGGUCCAGCAUGAAAAGGAAAGAGGGGAAAGAGAAGGAGAAACAAUUGGCCUGUCAGGUAAGAGGAAUCCCAUCUCUAUUACCCCUCCAGGAUGUUUCUUCUCAAACACAUUUAGUAGUCCCAUAUGCCAAGGAAACAGAUGACAAUUGGGGCUAUAUCUGGGCUGUGUAUUUGCCAAGUUGGGAAAAAAAAG